CCAGAAAGGGACGGCUAANUACGUGCCAGCAGCCGCGGUAAUACGUAGGUCCCGAGCGUUGUCCGGAUUUAUUGGGCGUAAAGGGAGCGCAGGCGNUCAGGAAAGUCUGGAGUAAAAGGCUAUGGCUCAACCAUAGUGUGCUCUGGAAACUNUCUGACUUGAGUGCAGAAGGGGAGAGUGGAAUUCCAUGUGUAGCGGUGAAAUGCGUAGAUAUAUGGAGGAACACCAGUGGCGAAAGCGGCUCUCUGGUCUGUCACUGACGCUGAGGCUUGAAAGCGUGGGUAGCGAACAGGAUUAGAUACCCUGGUAGUNCACGCCGUAAACGAUGAGUGCUAGGUGUUAGGCCCUUUCCGGGGCUUAGUGCCGGAGCUAACGCAAUAAGCACUCCGCCUGGGGAGUACGACCGCAAGGUUGAAACUCAAAGGAAUUGACGGGGGCCCGCACAAGCGGUGGAGCAUGUGGUUUAAUUCGAAGCAACGCGAAGAACCUUACCAGGUCUCGACAUCCCGAUGCUAUUCUUAGAGAUAGGAAGUUACUUCGGUACAUCGGAGACAGGUGGUGCAUGGUUGUCGUCAGCUCGUGUCGUGAGAUGUUGGGUUAAGUCCCGCAACGAGCGCAACCCUUAUUGUUAGUUGCCAUCAUUAAGUUGGGCACUCUAGCGAGACUGCCGGUAAUAAACCGGAGGAAGGUGGGGAUGACGUCAAAUCAUCAUGCCCCUUAUGACCUGGGCUACACACGUGCUACAAUGGUCGGUACAACGAGUUGCGAGCCGGUGACGGCAAGCUAAUCUCUGAAAGCCGAUCUCAGUUCGGAUUGGAGGCUGCAACUCGCCUCCAUGAAGUCGGAAUCGCUAGUAAUCGCGGAUCAGCACGCCGCGGUGAAUACGUUCCCGGGCCUUGUACACACCGCCCGUCACACCACGAGAGUUUGUAACACCCGAAGUCGGUGAGGUANCCUUUUAGG
rnacentral:rRNA from 1 species